GGCGCGUAGGCGGUGCCAUAAGCGUGUGGUGAAAGGCCGGGGCUCACUCCGGCUCGGCCGUGCGGACUCUCGCGCUUGGUGAGUGCUGUAGAGGUGGCGGAAUUCCGGGUGUAGCGGUGGAAUGCGUAUAUAUCCGAACAAACACCGGUGGCGAAGGCGGCCCGCUGGGCACUGACUGACGCUCACGCGCGACAGCGUGGGGAACAAACAGGAUUACAUACCCUGGUAGUCCACGCCGUAAACGAUGGGCACUAUUAGCCCGGGGGAGCGACCCUCCGGGUGCCGGCACUCACUCAUUACUUGCCCCGCCUGGGGAGUACGGCCGCAAGGCUGAAACUCGAAGGAAUUGGGGGGGCCCGCACAAGCGGUGGAGCAUGUGGUUUAAUUCGACGCAACGCGCCCAACCUUACCUGGGCUUGACAUGCAACAACAAAGCCGGGAGAAACUCCCGCCCCUCUUCACAGUCCGUGCACAGGUGCUGCAUGGCUGUCGUCAGCUCGUGUCGAGAUGAU
rnacentral:rRNA from 1 species